rnacentral:rRNA from 1 species
CCUACGGGGCAGCAGUGGGGAAUAUUGGACAAUGGGCGAAAGCCUGAUCCAGCCAUGCCGCGUGUGUGAAGAAGGCCUUCGGGUUGUAAAGCACUUUCAGUGGGGAAGAAAGCCUUGGGGCUAAUACCCUCGAGGAAGGACAUCACCCACAGAAGAAGCACCGGCUAACUCCGUGCCAGCAGCCGCGGUAAUACGGAGGGUGCGAGCGUUAAUCGGAAUUACUGGGCGUAAAGCGCGCGUAGGCGGUCUGAUAAGCCGGUUGUGAAAGCCCCGGGCUCAACCUGGGAACGGCAUCCGGAACUGUCAGGCUAGAGUGCAGGAGAGGAAGGUAGAAUUCCCGGUGUAGCGGUGAAAUGCGUAGAGAUCGGGAGGAAUACCAGUGGCGAAGGCGGCCUUCUGGACUGACACUGACGCUGAGGUGCGAAAGCGUGGGUAGCAAACAGGAUUAGAUACCCUGUAGUC